GGUGUUGUAACUCAGUGGUAGAGCUGGUGCUUGGCGUGCAUAAGGUCCUGGGUUCAAUCCCCAGUGCCUCCG
rnacentral:tRNA from 1 species